UACGAAGGGGGCUAGCGUUGCUCGGAAUCACUGGGCGUAAAGCGCACGUAGGCGGAUUGUUAAGUCAGGGGUGAAAUCCUGGAGCUCAACUCCAGAACUGCCUUUGAUACUGGCGAUCUUGAGUCCGGGAGAGGUGAGUGGAACUCCGAGUGUAGAGGGGAAAUUCGUAGAUAUUCGGAAGAACACCAGUGGCGAAGGCGGCUCACUGGCCCGGUACUGACGCUGAUGUGCGAAAGCGUGGGGAGCAAACAGG
rnacentral:rRNA from 1 species